rnacentral:lncRNA from 1 species
UUCCUCACAAAACCUGUUCCAAAAAUGAUUUCUUACAAGAAUAUACAUGCAGAGACAUCAAAAACUUCUGAAAUCCACUAGCACAAAUAGAUGGUGGUGAUGAAUAAAAUAAAUGGCUCUCCUUAGGAGCCUUGAAAAUGACUAUGGUUUCUCUGCACUGUGAGAGCGACAUGUGCAGCACCUGGGCAGGCGUGAGGGGUGGACUUACUUUGUGGAACACAUGGGAGCAUGAAAGCAGCACCUGUUCAUGAGGAAACAGAACGACGUUGAAGUUUACAAAAGAGAAGCAGCAUGUAUCCAACAGUUAAAAUCCUGAAUGCUUAGAAGGGAAAGUGUGCUCACAAGAAAACUUCACCUUUCUGUGACCCAAAUUCCCCACUAAACAGUGAUAUACUGGGCUGUGACAAAAGACUGAAGCUUAGACCAAAUGAAGAAGAAGGCAGUGGGUACUUAGUAGAAGGGACAGCCGCCAGCCCACCAGCGAUGGGGCAUGGUUGCACGGAGUCCCCUUGCAGGAGAGAGCGCUGUUUCACCUUCUCCCAUUCAUCUGAUGACAGUGGAGGUGGUGGAGGCCCAAUGAGGCCCAACUUCUGUGCUAAAGUAAGACAGCACAGGACAGGAGUUAGAGUGUCUUUUAGCAUAUGGCACCCACCUAUAACUUUAAUGACACCAUUUGCAAACAAAGAUUAAAGAACUACAUAUAGAUCACAUACUUUAUUUCACAAUAGAAGCUGUCCAUUGGUAUCCACAGGGAAUGUGUUCCAGGACAUUCCAAGGAUGCUCAAGUCCCUGAUAGAAGAUGGUGGAGUAUUUGCAUACAACCCAUGCAUAUCCUCCUGUAUACUGCCAGUCAUCUCGAUUACCAAUAAUUCCUAAUGCAAGUGCUAUGUAAAUAGCUGUUAUACUAUAUUGUUUUUAAUCUGUAUUAUUUUUAUUAUAUUGUUGUAUUGUUAUUUUUUAUUCAUUUAUUAAAAUUUUGAUCUGU